rnacentral:rRNA from 1 species
CCUACGGGCGGCAGCAGUGAGGAAUAUUGGUCAAUGGGCGCGAGCCUGAACCAGCCAAGUCGCGUGAGGGAAGACGGUCCUAUGGAUUUUAAACAUCUUUUGUCGGGGAGCAAAAGACGCCACGCGUGGCGUUCCGAGAGUACCCGAAGAAAAAGCAUCGGCUAACUCCGUGCCAGCAGCCGCGGUAAUACGGAGGAUGCGAGCGUUAUCCGGAGUUAUUGGGUUUAAAGGGUGCGCAGGCGGAAGAUCAAGUCAGCGGUAAAAUUGAGAGGCUCAACCUCUUCGAGCCGUUGAAACUGGUUUGCUUGAGUGAGCGAGAAGUAUGCGGAAUGCGUGGUGUAGCGGUGAAAUGCAUAGAUAUCACGCAGAACUCCGAUUGCGAAGGCAGCAUACCGGCGCUCAACUGACGCUCAUGCACGAAAGUGUGGGUAUCGAACAGGAUUAGAUACCCUAGUAGUC